rnacentral:snRNA from 1 species
AACCUUGCGCUGUGGCAAUAUCGUAACCAAUGAAGGUCUCCAGAGGUGCGAUUACUGCUAGUUGAAAACUAUUACCGAUUCCGGGAUAUCCCCUGGAAACUUCUCAUACCUUAACAUCUUUAAGUGUUACCUUCGUUGACUAACUUACAAGUGAUACCCAAUUUCAAGAUAACUUUUAGGAGU